rnacentral:rRNA from 1 species
GACGAACGCUGGCGGCGUGCCUAAUAUAUGCAAGUCGUACGAAUUGAUUAAGGAGCUUGCUCCUUAUGACGUUAGUGGCGAACGGGUGAGUAACACGUGGGUAACCUACCUUCAAGAGGGGGAUAACAUCCGGAAACGGGUGCUAAUACCGCAUAGUUUCAGCUUCCGCAUGGAAGCCGAAGGAAAGACGGCCUUUGUGCUGUCACUUGGAGAUGGACCCGCGGCGCAUUAGUUAGUUGGUAGGAUAACGGCCUACCAAGACGAUGAUGCGUAGCCGACCUGAGAGGGUGAUCGGCCACAUUGGGACUGAGACACGGCCCAA